rnacentral:SRP_RNA from 1 species
GCCAGGCGUGGUGGUGCACGCCUGUAAUCCCAGCUACUCGGGAGGCUGAGGCGGGAGAAUCGCUUGAACCCAGGAGGCAGAGGUUGCAGUGAGCUAAGAUCGUGCCACUGCACUCCAGCCUGGGUGACAGAGCAAGACACUGUCUCAA